AUGAAUGGAGUAAAUGAAGGCAGCAGCAGCAGCAGCAGAGCCAUGUGGACAUGCAGUAAAACAGCUGCUAGUGGGUCUAGUGAAGGACACAGAGGUGAGUCUGCUGUCACCAUGACAACCUGCUGCACACUGACUCUGACCAUACAGGCUGACAAGCAGACACACACAUUUACCAUCACCAGCAGGCUCAAUAUGGACAACAACCAACACACAAAGCCCACAUUGGCUGCUAUGUGCUUUGAAUGCAGAGCUCAGAAAGACAACGUGCUCCAACCCAAAGGAGAUGUGACUGUUAGUGAGGGAGAGACAGUAACACUGGACUGUCACUAUAACACCAGUGACUCAAAUACAAAUCUUUUCUGGUACAGACAGGCUGCAGACGACAAGCCCACAUUCAUUCUGAGCCGCUUUACUUUUGGAUCAGGGGACACAGCGGACGGGUUCAAGGAGAGAUUUGAUUCCAGCCUGGAUUCCAGCUCAAGAUCAGUUCCUCUGAAGAUCCAGAGUCUGCAGCUGUCUGACUCUGCUGUGUACUACUGUGCUCUGAGGCCCACAGUGACAGGAAACUGCAAGACGUACUACAAAAACCAUUGGAGUGUCUAUCAAGAAUCCAGAGACAAAACAAUGUUAAACCACAUCCACUAGAGGGCAGUAUUCACAUUUUAAUCUCAUCGGCUACUUGUUGAAGAAAAACACAUUGGACAGUUUGACAGGUCAC